rnacentral:rRNA from 1 species
UGCGGACCUCCGGGUCCAACCUCCCACCCGUGUCUAUCGUACCUUGUUGCUUCGGCGGGCCCGCCCACCGUGGCCGCCGGGGGGCGUCCGCCCCGCGGCCCGUGCCCGCCGAGGACCCCUGGGAACUCGUGCCUGAAGAGUGCCGUCUGAGCGAGAAGCGAAAUCAGUCAAAACUUUCAACAACGGAUCUCUUGGUUCCGGCAUCGAUGAAGAACGCAGCGAAAUGCGAUAAGUAAUGUGAAUUGCAGAAUUCAGUGAAUCAUCGAGUCUUUGAACGCACAUUGCGCCCCCUGGCAUUCCGGGGGGCAUGCCUGUCCGAGCGUCAUUGCUGCCCUCAAGCCCGGCUUGUGUGUUGGGCCGCCGUCCCCCCGCCUGCCCGGGGGGACGGGCCCGAAAGGCAGCGGCGGCACCGCGUCCGGUCCUCGAGCGUAUGGGGCUUCGUCACCCGCUCCGCAGGCCCGGCCGGUCGCCCGCCGGCGCACCUCUUCCUCUCUCCAGGUUGACCUCGGAUCAGGUAGGGAUACCCGCUGAACUUAAGCAUAUCAAUAAGCGGAGGAAAAGAAACCAACCGGGAUUGCCCCAGUAACGGCGAGUGAAGCGGCAAGAGCUCAAAUUUGAAAGCUGGCCCCCCCCGGGGUCCGCGUUGUAAUUUGCAGAGGAUGCUUCGGGAGCGGCCCCCGUCUAAGUGCCCUGGAACGGGCCGUCAUAGAGGGUGAGAAUCCCGUCUGGGACGGGGUGCCCGCGCCCGUGUGAAGCUCCUUCGACGAGUCGAGUUGUUUGGGAAUGCAGCUCUAAAUGGGUGGUAAAUUUCAUCUAAAGCUAAAUAUUGGCCGGAGACCGAUAGCGCACAAGUAGAGUGAUCGAAAGAUGAAAAGCACUUUGAAAAGAGAGUUAAACAGCACGUGAAAUUGUUGAAAGGGAAGCGCUUGCGACCAGACUCGCCCGCGGGGUUCAGCCGGCACUCGUGCCCGGUGAACUUCCCCGCGGGCGGGCCAGCGUCGGUUCGGGCGGCCGGUCAAAGGCCCUCGGAAUGUAACGCCCCCCCGGGGCGUCUUAUAGCCGAGGGUGCCAUGCGGCCAGCCCGGACCGAGGAACGCG